UAGGGAAUCUUCCACAAUGGACGCAAGUCUGAUGGAGCAACGCCGCGUGAGUGAAGAAGGUCUUCGGAUCGUAAAGCUCUGUUGUUGGUGAAGAAGGAUAGAGGCAGUAACUGGUCUUUAUUUGACGGUAAUCAACCAGAAAGUCACGGCUAACUACGUGCCAGCAGCCGCGGUAAUACGUAGGUGGCAAGCGUUGUCCGGAUUUAUUGGGCGUAAAGCGAGCGCAGGCGGAAUGAUAAGUCUGAUGUGAAAGCCCACGGCUCAACCGUGGAACUGCAUCGGAAACUGUCAUUCUUGAGUGCAGAAGAGGAGAGUGGAACUCCAUGUGUAGCGGUGGAAUGCGUAGAUAUAUGGAAGACACCAGUGGCGAAGGCGGCUCUCUGGUCUGCAACUGACGCUGAGGCUCGAAAGCAUGGGUAGCGAACAGGAUUAGAUACCCUGGUAGUCCAUGCCGUAAACGAUGAGCGCUAGGUGUUGGGG
rnacentral:rRNA from 1 species